CUGUCGCUGGGGAGAAAUUCAGCUUGGGGGAAAGCGCCGCGAAGUAUAAUUUUAAAUAAAGUAAAACAUUAUAAAUAAUAAAAUAUUGAUUAUUCAUUUAUUUGAAUAGUAGUGUAGUUAUUCUUUAACUUAUAAUUUUAUUAUAAUUUGAUUAGGUAUUUAACUGCUUUUUUUAUGUAUAAUUAGUUUCGACUAACCCAUCUGAGUAACAUCUCAAAAGUCAUAGCA
rnacentral:rRNA from 1 species